rnacentral:rRNA from 1 species
AUUGAACGCUGGCGGCAGGCCUAACACAUGCAAGUCGAACGAGUGGCGGACGGGUGAGUAAUGUCUGGGAAACUGCCUGAUGGAGGGGGAUAACUACUGGAAACGGUAGCUAAUACCGCAUACCAUCAGAUGUGCCCAGAUGGGAUUAGCUAGUGGGUUGGGUAACGGCUCACCAAGGCGACGAUCCCUAGCUGGUCUGAGAGAAUGACCAGCAACACUGCAACUGAGAAACGUUCCAGACUCCUACACGAGGCAGCAGUGGGGAAUAUUGCACAAUGGGCGCAAGUCUGACGCACCCAUGCCGCGUUUAUGAAGGAGGCCUUCGGGUUGUACAGUACGUUCAGCGGCGAGGCGUCACCCGCAUAAGAAGAACCUGCUACCCCCGUGCCAGCAGCCGCGGUAAUAC